rnacentral:rRNA from 1 species
UACGUAGGGUGCGAGCGUUAAUCGGAAUUACUGGGCGUAAAGCGUGCGCAGGCGGUUCGUUGUGUCGGCGGUGAAAGCCCCGGGCUCAACCUGGGAAUGGCCGUUGAAACUGGCGAACUGGAGUGUGGCAGAGGGGGGUGGAAUUCUGCGUGUAGCAGUGAAAUGUGUUGAUAUCGGGAGGAAUACCCGUGGCGAAGGCGGUCCACUGGGCAUCAACUGACGCUGAGGCGCGAAAGCGUGGGUAGCAAACAGG